UAGAAUAUCAUGUAACUGCUUUGGCAGUUCGGCUUAAGAAAAUGAGGUUUUAGCAUUACUUUUUAACUUAUAUCUUUAUGAGCUUUUUUCUCUUUUUUGGGGAUAAUAGAGAUGUGACUGAAUUGUACUUUUUGUAAGGAGCAGGCCAGCCAAUAUUCAAAUUUGAAUUUUAAAAGGAAUCUCUUCCUGUCACUACAGCUGUGGAUCAAAGGCAGUGUGGAGUAGCAGUAAAAUGGUUGAUUAAAGAUUAUUUUACAUUGAAAUAUGUUUUUUCCAAAUGUUAUUGUAAAGGAACUGAGGAAAACCCCACAGUCUGUUGAGUGAAAGUAGGACAUUUGUUAAGCGUUCACAUGGGACUCUGUAAUAGGUGAAGUCAAGGUUCUUAGACAAAAAUUGUCAAUGUGGGAGGCCCUUAUAGUUAUAAAAAUGAUAUGGGGUCCUCAACAUCCUUCUCGAACAUUGAGAGGAUCUUGGUCAUACAUCGUAGGGUGCUCAGAGCAUUGUCUGCUAGUAGAGGGGUUGGAAUGGACAACUGUGCAGAGAGACUGCUAUUGCUGGAGAAUCAAUAGGCACAAUGGGAGAUAAGUACGUCUUCUAUACUAAGGAAUUCUAGAUACUAAUGAUUUUGCAAUAACAUGAAAAACAAAUCAGAAACAAACAGAAAAGAAAAUUCUCUCUCUCUCUGGGAAAACCACCGCAUUAGGCUUUUUCACCAUGAUUUUCCAUGAUUAUAUAUGAAAGAUUCUCUAGUAUUUAAUGGGAAAAAAGAAAACUUCUGGAGACCCAGGAAGAGUUUUGGUGGAAAAGACUAACAGAGGUUUUAAUCUCGAGCUCUGGGAGGUGUCUCGCCUCUUUAAGUAGAAGCAGAUUUGAUAUCAUUCCUUUAAUUAAAACCAUCUGAUGCACAAAAUCCCUUCUCAAUUGCCCUAGAUAACUUAUUUUCCAACUCCACCUUCAAAUGGUUUGUCUUCCAAUGAAGCGUGUUAUCGUUUAUUCAAAUGACUGAUAACCCAAGAGUCGUGAAUAAUGGAAAAAUGACAAAACUUGCUAUACAUAAUCAGUUGGCAAAGGAAGGAGAAAUAACAGCUGCUUAACUGUUAUAACAUAUAUUUUUAAACUGAGCUUGUAAGUCAGUGUAACUGCCAAGUCACAGAUUUUUUUCAGUAAUCUCAAGAUGGCUUAAAGCCAUACAGAUAGGAGUUUGUUGGUGGCUUUCUUCUACCCCGAGCUCUUGUCUUUGGAAAUAUUGGGCAGGGAGAAAGGGUGCUUUUAGAACCGAGCUGUUCAGGGUCCCAGAUCCUCUAAUGUAAUGCCAGCUGAACCCAGACAGUGACUUCCACCUCCAUGAAUGCAGGUGAUUGCAUCCUUUGAAAGCCUGUUUGCAUAGCAGACAAUGAAGCUGAGCAGAGAAAAACAAGAUGAGAGACAGAUGGAGUAGGAGACCUGAGAAGAUGGCUUGAGUCCAUGAAUUCUGGUGUUCCCUAGGCCACAUUUGCCCCCAUCCUUCCCAGGUGAGAGAACCUUUGUGGGAGCGCAGAAGUCCAGCAGAGAGACCCUAGCACUUUAUUUGGACCAAAAAAUAAAUAAUAAAUAAAUAAAUAAAUAAAUCCAAAACUAGAUGCAUUAAAGAAGGUAAGAACAGUUUUACUUUACCUGUGUCACCCCUCCCCCAGUGUGGCACAGAUCAGUGCCAAGAGAGACCGCUUCAGCCCAGUUUCUUCCACAGGGGAAAAUGAGAACAGUGAGUGCCUAAUUUCCUCAGCUGUAGGAUGCUGUAGAAGAGACCCACUUCUGCCUCACCCAUUUGAGAACCCUGAGGGAAUCAGUAUGGCUGAAUAAUCUGGGGGUAGCUAGGAGCAGGGAAAAGGGGCAGCACUCACAGCAACCUGAGUAUGGAAUUCAGCAAAGAGCCACAGUUUCUAUUAACUACCUCCCAAAUUCCAUCAAGAGGGCCAGCCACAAACUACAUAGGAUGCAUAAUCUGCAGAUCCCCUGACUAGCCCAUGUGUGCUUCCAACCUUCUGCAUGCCCUUCCCCCAUGUAGCUGGCACCCUGAAUGCACCCCCAUGGAUAGCAUGUACAAGCUUCUGCAGAUUGUGCAUGAGAACAUGAAGAUAACUAACUUGAUUCAGGAUUGGAAGGAAGUGACUAAUCUUGAAUUUUUCAAGGCACUUCCUAGGGAAGAUAAACAGGAGGCUUACAUUGCACCUGGCCUGACUUUUGCAAGAUCAAGAGAAGGAAUAUGCUGUAAUUUGAAUGAAAAUUUAACAUUUAAAAUUUAUGUUGAAGCUGAAUACUCAAUGCAAUAGUACUAAGAAGUCUAACCUUUGGGAGGUGAUUAAGUCAUGAUGACUCUUCUCACUUGAAUGGGAUGAGCACUCAUAAAAGAUGUCAAGGUUUAUGGGAGUUCUCUUUUGCCCUUCCAUCCCUUCUGCCAGGUUAGACUUCUCCUAUGGAGAAUGCAGCAAGAAAAUACCAUCUUGAAGCAGAGAGCAGCGCUCAUCAGGCAUCAGUCCUUCUGGAGCCUUGAUCUUGGACCUCCCAGCUCCAAAAUAAUAAGUAAUAAAUUGUUAUUGCUUAUAAAUUA
rnacentral:lncRNA from 1 species